rnacentral:rRNA from 1 species
AUUGAACGCUGGCGGCAGGCUUAACACAUGCAAGUCGAGCGGAGAGAGGUAGCUUGCUACUGAUCUUAGCGGCGGACGGGUGAGUAAUGCUUAGGAAUCUGCCUAUUAGUGGGGGACAACUUUUCGAAAGGAAUGCUAAUACCGCAUACGUCCUACGGGAGAAAGCAGGGGAUCUUCGGACCUUGCGCUAAUAGAUGAGCCUAAGUCGGAUUAGCUAGUUGGUGGGGUAAAGGCCUACCAAGGCGACGAUCUGUAGCGGGUCUGAGAGGAUGAUCAGUCACACUGGAACUGAGACACGGUCCAGACUCCUACGGGAGGCAGCAGUGGGGAAUAUUGGACAAUGGGCGAAAGCCUGAUCCAGCCAUGCCGCGUGUGUGAAGAAGGUCUUCGGAUUGUAAAGCACUUUAAGUUGGGAGGAAGGGUUGUAGAUUAAUACUCUGCAAUUUUGACGUUACCGACAGAAUAAGCACCGGCUAACUCUGUGCCAGCCGCCGCGGUAAUAC